AGUCGAGCGGGGGAGAUUGCUUCGGUAAUUGACCUAGCGGCGGACGGGUGAGUAAUACUUAGGAAUCUGCCUAUUAAUGGGGGACAACAUCUCGAAAGGGAUGCUAAUACCGCAUACGCCCUACGGGGGAAAGCAGGGGAUCACUUGUGACCUUGCGUUAAUAGAUGAGCCUAAGUCGGAUUAGCCAGUUGGUGGGGUAAAGGCCUACCAAGGCGACGAUCUGUAGCGGGUCUGAGAGGAUGAUCCGCCACACUGGGACUGAGACACGGCCCAGACUCCUACGGGAGGCAGCAGUGGGGAAUAUUGGACAAUGGGGGGAACCCUGAUCCAGCCAUGCCGCGUGUGUGAAGAAGGCCUUAUGGUUGUAAAGCACUUUAAGCGAGGAGGAGGCUCUCUUGGUUAAUACCCAAGAUGAGUGGACGUUACUCGCAGAAUAAGCACCGGCUAACUCUGUGCCAGCAGCCGCGGUAAU
rnacentral:rRNA from 1 species